ensembl:lncRNA
UUGAUGUUAAGUCUGUUUAUUGAGAGGCCACGGCCUCUUUGCCGAGAUUGACAGACACAGAAAAAGGGUGCAAGAAAGAAACACGAUAUUAAAGGAAAUUCAUUUAAUAUUUCUGAAUAAUAGUAAUAAAAAGAGUCAUGCACAUGAUUCAGUCGUUUCGAAUCAGUUCAGCUGUAUCACAAAUACAGACAUGAAUCUUUACACUCAUUGAUAUAUCGCCUCCAAAAAGCCCAGUAACUGAAUGAAAUGUGUCAACUAAUAUCCAAUAAAUCACUUUGUUUAUCCCUACAGUAGUGUAAUAUGUCUUAGACGCCAUGCUUUCUACAGGAUCAUCAAUUAGAUUUAACCUGGGGCCAAAUUUUCACACAACAAAUACUGUUUCAGAUAGUGUUUAGUAAACACCAUAUAGAAAAACUGGGGGGGGAUCUGAAUGGUAUCAAAUUUUAGUGGAAAAUGAUUACAUUACAUUACACUGAAUGAAAUGUUUUAUUUUAAAAACAAUAUUAGACUUGCAUUUCAUGUGGUCAGUCUAUCUAGGGUAUAAAAUAUUCGCUUCAUACACCCUUCCUGCUAAUACACCCUUACUGCCACAAACACCAUGUGGUAGAAAAACAGAGCCAAAUGUAAUGCAAUAUAACUUAAGAUAUUUACCCAAGUUAGAUAAAAGUGAAAGUAGUCCCCAUUAAAACUACAACACAAAAUGUUGUCUUGUUUCAAAUAUGAAGUGCCAAUAGAGAUGUGCAUCUGGUUUCUGGUACCAGUUCCUCAAUUACAUACUGAAACUGCUACUGGCAGAUCAUAGGUGUGAACGCUAUGGUGAAGCACACACACACACACACACACCAAAGUGACAGAGUAUCCCUACAUGUAGUUAUACAUUUUCAAAUUUCUAGAUGGUAGGACAGCAUUCACAAUAUUACCCCCUUUAUUACAGAUUCUACAUAAUUUUAAUGUCAAUUUAAAAAAAAAAAAAAAAAAAAAUGAAGAAAAGGCUUUGGGGCAUUUGAUGAUCCUGGCUGCUGUGAAAGAGGCUCCAGUUGACCAGCUGAAGGAUCUAAAGUACAGCUUGAAAUCUUAAACGUUACUGGUUAUACAGCGAGUAAAAGCAUGGAGUGGCUUGUGCAACAGCGAUAGAUAAACUAAGCAUGUGUGAGUGCUUUCUGAUGAAUGCAAAACAUGACAAGUUCCCAGUGCAUAAAGUGAGUGUAUAAAAGACAAUAUAAAGGUCACGUUCUUCAGCAAAGACGUUCCAGUUCAGCUACACAGCAGUCUUACAGGUUGGUGUUUACACAGGAGCUGUUAUUGGGCCUCAGUCUAUU